GAUGAACGCUGGCGGCGUGCCUAAUACAUGCAAGUCGAGCGAACGGACGAGAAGCUUGCUUCUCUGAUGUUAGCGGCGGACGGGUGAGUAACACGUGGAUAACCUACCUAUAAGACUGGGAUAACUUCGGGAAACCGGAGCUAAUACCGGAUGAUAUUUUGAACCGCAUGGUUCAAAAGUGAAAGACGGUCUUGCUGUCACUUAUAGAUGGAUCCGCGCUGCAUUAGCUAGUUGGUAAGGUAACGGCUUACCAAGGCAACGAUGCAUAGCCGACCUGAGAGGGUGAUCGGCCACACUGGAACUGAGGCACGGUCCAGACUCCUACGGGAGGCAGCAGUAGGGAAUCUUCCGCAAAGGGCGAAAGCCUGACGGAGCAACGCCGCGUGAGUGAUGAAGGUCUUCGGAUCGUAAAACUCUGUUAUUAGGGAAGAACAUAUGUGUAAGUAACUGUGCACAUCUUGACGGUACCUAAUCAGAAAGCCACGGCUAACUACGUG
rnacentral:rRNA from 1 species